CGGGACGGAGACAGGAAGUGACGUAUGUCACGUUAUUAGGUAUUUGCUGUCAUGGCCGCUGCCUGUACCAGGGUCACUAUAGAGGCAGCGGGACGGCUUGCUGUGUGAGCGGAGGAGAAGGCUUGUAAGGACCGGCAGCAGAGCGGGGCUCCUCGGCGCCAUGGUGUACGCCUUCCUCAUCCACACAGUGGGGGCCCCUGGGCCCUGCCGCCUCCUGUACCAGCGCCUGUUCCGCUGCGGGGCGGAGGAGGAUUUCCUGGAGAAGGAGGAGGUCGGGCGGAAGGGUCAGCUGACGGCGGCGGCCAGGCGGGUGGAGUCCCUGUGUCUCCUGAGGCGUCAGUUCUCUCUUCCGGCCGCUGACCCAGAGGAGGCGCUCACGCUCCACGAGGAGGAUGUCGGGGUGCUGGGGCUACCUCCGGGGGAGCCCUUCCCGCAGGAGAUGACUGUGCUCUGGGUGGGGGUUCAUCACCUCGGCUUCUCUCUGAUCUGUGACCCCCAGGAGAACCUGACGCUGGCGGAGAUGACGCUGAGGAUGAUGGUGAAGUAUCUGCUGGAGACGCUGCGCCUCCAGACUCACAGCAGCAACGCCAUCCUCCGGGCCGACAAGAUGGAGCUGGCCCUCAACGCCUUCAUCCCGCAGGGCGCGCUGCUGUUCCUCAGUCACCAGGCCGUGCAGGCGCUAGAGAAGGAGCUGAGCAGCUGCAUGACCCUCUGAGGAGCCCGCCACAGCGCCCCCUGGAGAACACUGCCUGUACUGAGGGGGGGGGAUGGGGCCACAGCGCCCCCUGGAGAACACUGCCUGUACUGAGGGUGAGAAGGAUGGGGCCACACCGCCCCCUGGAGAACACUGCCUGUACUGAGAAGGAUGGGGCCACACCGCCCCCUGGAGAACACUGCCUGUACAGAGGAAGAAGUGGGGGGGGGGGGGGAUGGGGCCACAGCGCCCCCUGGAGAACACUGCCUGUACCGAGAAGGAUGAGGCCACAGCGCCCCCUGGAGAACACUGCCUGUACUGUGGGGGAGGGGAUGGGGCCACAGCACCCCCACCGCUAGGCUACAACCUGUACUGGGUGGUGGGGUCAGCAGUGGAUAGGACUGGGGGAUCGGGUCGUCAUCUUUUGUCAAUAAAGCUUUAUCAUUGUGAAAAUCUCUGCAGCUAAUAAACCUUGUUUUUCCGCUA